rnacentral:rRNA from 1 species
CGGAUUAUUGGGCGUAAGCGAGCGCAGGCGGUUUCUUAAGUCUGAUGUGAAAGCCCCCGGCUCAACCGGGGAGGGUCAUUGGAAACUGGGAGACUUGAGUGCAGAAGAGGAGAGUGGAAUUCCAUGUGUAGCGGUGAAAUGCGUAGAUAUAUGGAGGAACACCAGUGGCGAAGGCGGCUCUCUGGUCUGUAACUGACGCUGAGGCUCGAAAGCGUGGGGAGCGAACAGGAUUAGAUACCCUGGUAGUCCACGCCGUAAACGAUGAGUGCUAAGUGUUGGAGGGUUUCCGCCCUUCAGUGCUGCAGCAAACGCAUUAAGCACUCCGCCUGGGGAGUACGACCGCAAGGUUGAAACUCAAAGGAAUUGACGGGGGCCCGCACAAGCGGUGGAGCAUGUGGUUUAAUUCGAAGCAACGCGAAGAACCUUACCAGGUCUUGACAUCCUUUGACCACUCUAGAGAUAGAGCUUCCCCUUCGGGGGCAAAGUGACAGGUGGUGCAUGGUUGUCGUCAGCUCGUGUCGUGAGAUGUUGGGUUAAGUCCCGCAACGAGCGCAACCCUUAUUGUUAGUUGCCAUCAUUUAGUUGGGCACUCUAGCGAGACUGCCGGUGACAAACCGGAGGAAGGUGGGGAUGACGUCAAAUCAUCAUGCCCCUUAUGACCUGGGCUACACACGUGCUACAAUGGGAAGUACAACGAGUUGCGAAGUCGCGAGGCUAAGCUAAUCUCUUAAAGCUUCUCUCAGUUCGGAUUGUAGGCUGCAACUCGCCUACAUGAAGCCGGAAUCGCUAGUAAUCGCGGAUCAGCACGCCGCGGUGAAUACGUUCCCGGGCCUUGUACACACCGCCCGUCACACCACGAGAGUUUGUAACACCCGAAGUCGGUGAGGUAACCUUUUUGGAGCCAGCCGCCUAA